ACUAUCUCCUCACCACUCCUCACACCAACACACUCCACUAUCUCCUCACCACCCUACUCACCAUUCCUCACCACAACACACUCCUCACCACUCCGCUCACCACUUCUGUAACUCGGAAAUCACGUUUUGCUCUUCUUACCUGGAAAAUCCUCAUCUCUCGUUAUACACGGACGCUCCUCACCACGCUCACCAAUUGAAGACCCCUGCUCACCACUCCCUCUACUCUCACACUAACCCUCUCUCUCUCCUUGAGAGUCCCGAGCUCCUCACCCCGACUCCAGCAACCUUCUGCUCCUCACCAGGUGGGGACGACUCAGCGUGGAGCGACGCCCUGGGCUUCCGGCUGCAGAUCUCAGCCUCGUACACAGUUCUGCAGGGAGGAGGGGCAGAACCGGAAGUGGCCUCGGACGAUGACGUCAUCGAGCUGGUCGAUCACCUGCGCCAACUCCACGAGACGGCGUGGGAGCCAAGGCUGGUGCCGUGGUCUCCACCGUACUGAGAGUGAUGUACAGAGGGAGAGAUGUAUAUAGACAUAUACGCGUAUAUAUACACAGAUGUAUAUUUGUAGAUGUAUAGAGAUAUAGAUUUAUACAUACCGAUGUGUAUAUACAGAAAUAUCCUGUGUACAGAUAGCUGUAUAUACAAAGAUGUAUAAAGAUAGACAAAGAUGAAUUUAUGUAUGUACAUAGAGAUAUAUAUAUAGAGAUGCAUAGUGAUAUAUAAUUCCAUUCAGAACCUCUCGACACAGAUAUACACAGAGAUAUAUAUAUAUGGAACAAUAUUGAGAUAUACAGUGAUAUAUAUAUACACACACGGCUGAGUACAGAGAUAACUAGAGAUGUAGGGAGAGCGUGUGAGAGUCCGAAUGUCAAAGUCGCUUGGUGUAGAGCAGGGGUGGACAAGCUGUAAGAGACCAAAAGAGCCAAAAAAGUACACCAUAAAUUCUGCAAAAAGUGUGUGUAUAUGUAAGUGUAUAUAUAUUGACAGUUUUCUGCACAGCACGGGAGACAUUUAUUAUUAAUUGCUACUACUGUGAUAGCGUGUUCUACGUUAUGUCCCUUCGAUAGAGCCACAUGACAGACUCAACACAGACCCAUGGACUCACACUGCACCAUAGACUCAACACUGCACCAGAGACUCAACAUUUCCCAAAGAUGCAACACUGCCCAUAGACUCAGCACUGAGACCCAUAGACUCACACUGCACCAUAGACUCAGCACUGAGACCCAUAGACUCAACACUGCCUCAUGCAGCUUGAGACGCCUGUUGGCCACUGCUUGGUGUAGAGGCUCACGGUUCGAACCCUGUCACUGCCCUGGGUAAUACUCCGCGGUGGCUAGGAGAUGUUAACUACCUCACGUGGUAUACAUACAGGAGGCCGUGGGUUCGAUCCCAACCCUGACGCCUGCUC